rnacentral:rRNA from 1 species
GUAACACGGUUUCCGUAUGUGAACCUGCGGAAGGAUCAUU